GGCUCAGCUGGUAGGGUGUGAGACUCUUGAUCUCAGGGUCCUGGGUUCCAGCCCCAG
rnacentral:tRNA from 1 species